GUGUAUUUAGGUGAGCAAUACGUAAACAAUCCAACGCUUUCUGAUAUAACAUUCUUAGUUAAUGAAAAGAGAUGCCAAGGAUGUAGAGAUUCCAAAUAUUCGAUGGGGGGUGUUUAAACUGAUGAUGAGAUUCAUAUACACGGGAUCAAUUGAUGUUGAUUUGGAUAUUGCUCAUGAUCUCCUCAAAGCUGCUGAUCAGUAUCUUCUGGAAGGUCUUAAGCGUCAAUGUGAACAUGCCAUUGCGCAGAGGCAUAUACUGCCAUGUCGUUGAUGCAACCAUGCAUUCUGUUUAUACUAAAGCAGUUUGAUAAGUAGAGCAAGAAACCAUGUUAUAUACAAACACCAAUACUAACUAGUAUAGAAGGUCAUGGAGGUCUGAGAUAUUGGGAUGCUUGAUGAUGAUUGAGAGACUACAGGCAAACCAUCACUAUGUUGGCUCAACUGAU